GAUGAACGCUGGCGGCGUGCCUAAUACAUGCAAGUCGAGCGAACAGACGAGGAGCUUGCUCCUCUGACGUUAGCGGCGGACGGGUGAGUAACACGUGGAUAUCCUACCUAUAAGACUGGGAUAACUUCGGGAAACCGGAGCUAAUACCGGAUAAUAUAUUGAACCGCAUGGUUCAAUAGUGAAAGACGGUUUUGCUGUCACUUAUAGAUGGAUCCGCGCCGCAUUAGCUAGUUGGUAAGGUAACGGCUUACCAAGGCGACGAUGCGUAGCCGACCUGAGAGGGUGAUCGGCCACACUGGAACUGAGACACGGUCCAGACUCCUACGGGAGGCAGCAGUAGGGAAUCUUCCGCAAUGGGCGAAAGCCUGACGGAGCAACCCCGCGUGAGUGAUGAAGGUCUUCGGAUCGUAAAACUCUGUUAUUAGGGAAGAACAAAUGUGUAAGUAACUAUGCACGUCUUGACGGUACCUAAUCAGAAAGCCACGGCUAACUACGUG
rnacentral:rRNA from 1 species